AACAGCUUUCAGAGCUGAAAAAAGCCUUCAUUUUUUUCUGUGUGCAAAACCUGCCUCUGCCUCCGUGUGCUCUGCAGGCUCAGGCCACCCAGCCGCUGCAGCCCCUUGGCCCGGCAGGGGCAGGGGACCCUGCCUCGGGUCCUGCUGCAGUUUCUGCCCAGGCAGCGGGCAGACGCAGACGGGUUAAAGCUGGAUGCUCAGGCAGUUCCCUCGUUUCUGCAUUGCUGACCUGGGGCACGUGGGAUCUCAGCAGAGUGACACUAGUGCCCACGGAGUGAGGGCACAGCCUCUCUUAAAGGACUUUGCUGCAGUUUCACACGUCACCUGAGCCAGACCACGGGCUAAAGUGCACAGCACAGCAGGUGCAGGGAGCCAGAGCCCCUGCAGACACCGGGGCCGCUUCCAGCCAGGCCUGAGCUCAGCCCCGCCAGCAGCGGCGCGGAGCAGCGGGAGCAGGGACACAGCUUUCCUCCCUUCCCGCCGUGCCCAGCUACGAGGGACACGCGGGUGCCGGGCCCGGCGGGUCAGGGGCCAGCACCGGCAGCACCGCCGCCCUGCCCGCUCCCGGCCCGGCUCCGGGCCCCGGGGACACUCCGGGAGCUGGCGCUGCCCCUUCCCCUCUGUUUGCUCCAGAGCUGGAGCCGUGCCCGGCCGGGUAAGGGCAACAGCUGCUGCACAGCUUGUACCCUCAGGAGCAGGAGCAAGGCCUGGAAAUCCUCCCCCGCGCUGCAGCAGAGCGGACGGAGCGCACCCGUGUCCUGCAGAUCUCUCCCAAAGCCAUUCCUGUUGCUUUAACUCCUUCUGAAAAACUCCUGCUCCGUGAGCUCCCCACACCCCAUCUCCUUCCCUUCCUUGGAGCAGAGCUGGUCCUGGUCCCCCGGCUGCCUCUGCUCCUGCACCAGCCCUUCUUGCCUUGGGGACACCCCAGAAGCUGCUUCACUAGGAGGUUCCAGGUACCUCCAGGUGCUUUCCAUGCCCUGGGUCCAAGGCAGAUGGACAUGCCAGCACAGGGGUAGAUCUGGGCACCUAUCAUUAGAUAAUGAGAGGCUCUUGUCAAGUCUAAAUCAGAACUUAGGGAGCACAGGUCACCUUUCUGGCUCUGCCACAGACUUCCUGUGCAGCCUUGGACAAAGUGUUUCAUCUCCCCUCCACUCCAGGUUCCUGUCAGCUCAGUGAUGCUGAGUUCAUGUUUCAUAAAAGCCUUGUGAGCAUUGUCCCUCUGCUCAGGUCUGCAGUGCAUGAUAACCCACACUGCUGUACCCAGGAGCAUCCUUCUCCAAAAUCUCUUCAGUGGCCCAGCACUAGAACUGGGCUGUAGCACUGAGCCCUACAGACUCCCCAAAUCCUGCAUCACCUGGCAACACCAAUACUGUCUGACCACAUCCCCAGGGUAGACAUGCAGAAACUGUCCAGCUGCAGCUCCUCUCAGGCCUAUCAAAUCCUCUGAGCUGCUUGCAGGAGUAGCCACAACCAGCUGCUUCAGCCAGAAGCAGAAGUGAUUUGCCAUGAGACACAUCUUUAGAGAGCCUGCACUUCAAGGUGUAGAGCACAGCAGCCCUUUGAAAACUCCUGAAAGCCUCUCCAUGUUAUCUUCUGCCCUCACUGUCACCCCAUCCUUUUGAUAAGCAUCUCCCAGUGACUUCCUACAGCCAUGAACUGUAGAUCUUCCAUAGGCCAAUUAUGUGAAUUGUUCUGAAUUUCCAUCAAAUAUCAUAUUGUUCUUGGACUGAACCAAAAUACAGAUGCUGUUGAAACACUUGUGGUGGACCAAGUGUUUCCAGCCCACUGUCCCACUGCUUCCCAGCCCCAGGACUGGUGGUAAAGUUACAGCUUCCCCAGGACCACGUGUUCGCCUGGGCCUUCAAGCAUCGUGCCCCACCUCCCUGUCUGCAGCAAGUGUUGUUGGCCAGUUUGUGCAAGGUUUUCCAGUAUCAGGAACUUUUCUGACUUUAACAGUGAAUUGUGAUUUUAAGAAAAGGUUUUACCUUGUGCUGGCUCAGCUGUAUCACAUCCUUGUACAGAUGCUCUUGGUUUGCUGGCCAUGGCUAUCCAGUCUUGUGCCUGGUUUACCAUUGCCAGCUACCAUCUACAGCCUUAUUGUAAAACCAUUGCAGACACUUGGUGCCCUCCAGCCCACCAGCACACAGGCUGUUUCUCAUUAUAUUGCCUGGCCACUGGAAAAUAAAAUAGCAAAUGAAUGACCAGUGAACAAAGAGUUUCUCCUGAGGACUGGGAGCAUUCCAAAAGGUCUCGUCCUCUCAGAUGCUCAAGUCCUUGGAGCCUUUGCCUUCCUCUAGAGCCUCUCCUGAAAUAAAUCAGAGCCAACAACCUUCAUUUCUGCCUGGUGUGGAGAGUGGUUAUUGCUGUAACAAUUACUGCAGGAACACAGAUGUCUCACCAAGCCAAAUGGUGAGUUUGGUGGAGGGGAAGCAGGGCCUGGCUGGGUGCAGGGAAUGCUGUCUGGCACAGAGGCAGCAGGACACCUCUGCUCAUGACUCCAAUCCCCUGUUUUGUUUGCACAGCCUACAGGUCAGCUCCUUCUCAUGCUCUGAUUCUAGAGACUUUCCAAGGAUUUUAAGGCAUGACAGAAAAGGCAGUCUGUCAGAUCUCUGCCAUGGCAUGACAGCCACUUCUCUAUGCUGACAUGCACCAGACGGUCAAGACAUGUUAUCACGAGUGUCCUGUCUUCUGCAUCCCAUCACUGACAGCCAUCAAAGUGUGGGAUCCUGGAGAGGGACUCUCCUGCAGAGCUCCAGUGCUGCCCUUUUCCUCCAACACGGUCAGGAGGAUCCUCCAUCUCAGAGCAGUAAGGCAUAGUAUGUCAUUUCAAGACACAGCAGAAGCCCAGGUCACACUUAGGUAACACCCAAACAGGAACAAGUGCAAGAUGCCUAAAGACGUGCCCAGGGCUUCCCAACCCCACUUUUCCUUGCCGCUCAGAUCCCAGGUUUGCCAAACACCAGUCCUCCACAGCCUGCUCAUGGCCAGCCAGAGGGCACUGCCACCUGGCAAUGAGCUGCUUCCCACUGCUAACCAGGAGCAGUAAGUAGCAAUUAUGUGAAAAGUAUCUCUAGAGCAGAACUGAUCCUGACAGGCAACUUCGCUAUCACCUCCUUCCUGCCUAACAUUUCUGUGUUCACCAGGAGUGCCACUUUGCACCUAUCUGUGGUUUCAGACACAAAAACAGCAGGUUGAACUGCAGCCCCCAGGCAUCACCUUGAUUGUGAUCAUCAAUGGUGUUGCUCUCUUUGUAGUUCUCCUUUUCUGUAUCCUCUCUGGUGCUCCCAAAUCUUCCUUUCAACUGACAGGUCUGUAGUGCAUCCAACCAAGCAGACACCGUAUUUUCCACAUCCUGUUUCCCUCUCCAGGCAUCACUUCCAAUUAGAUUUAUCUUCAUGAAAUUAUUUGAAAGGUCUCUGCCAUGAACAGGCAUUUCAGGCACUCUAGAUGUGCUAGGGGUUUUCUGCCAUGACUGGAUUUCUCCUACAAAGAAGAAAGUUCCUAAGUUCAUGCUAGCAGUAUCAAGCUUGUCACAGUAAUGCAGUGCAGAGACCUGGGCAUGAACCCAGCCUACCCUUCCUUGAAUAUGUUCUUUGUCACUCACUGUUGCUCCCCACUGCAGUUUAUUGGGGGAGGACUGUUGCUUCAGUCCUGUGAGAAAUGUACCACCUAGAAAGGACUAAUCUUCCUUGGAGGGCUGGAGACUUUUUUCAAUACAUCCAGGAACUAGAGUGAAUUCACACUGCUGAGGCUGUAGGCAGAAAUGCAGUGCAGGUGCAAUCCCCAAGGGCAGCAGGGAGCACUGGUGGAGGAGUAUCACCCUGCCCUGGGUCUCCCACAGACUUCCCUGGGCCUCAAAGAUUAGCUCUGUGGGCUGUGGGUCACUCCACUUCUUUCUACUGCUCAUUUGGUCUGCAGGCUUUGUUUCCCUAGAAAUGGUCCUAUUUCAUAGAACCAUAGAAUGGUUUGGUUUGGAAGGGACCUUAAAGAUCAUCUAGAUCCAACCCCCUGCAUGGGCAGGGACACCUCCCACCAGCCCAGGCUGCUCCAAGCCCCAUCCAACCUGCCCUUCAACACUGCCAGGGAUGGGGCAGCCACAGCUUCCCUGGGCAACCUGGGCCAGGCUCUCACCACCCUCACAGGGAAGAACUUUUCCUAAUGUCCAGCCUGAAUCUCCCCUCUUUAACCUUCAAACCAUUGCCCCUUGUCCUCUCACUACACACCUGUGUAAAAACCCCUACCCCAGCUUUCUUGUAGGCCCCUUCAGAUAUUGGAAAGCUGCUGCAAGGUCACCACGGAACCUCCUCUUCUCUAGGCUGAACAACCCCAACUUCCUCAGCCUGUCUUCAUAGGGGAGCUGCUCCAGCCCUCUGGUCAUCUUCAUGGACUCCUCUGGACAUGCUUGAGGAGUUCUGUGUCCUUCUUCUGUUGGGGACUCCAGAACUGGACACAGCCCUGCAAGUGGGGUCUCACCAGAAGAGAGCAGAGGGGAAGACUCACCUCUCUCGACCAGCUGGUUAUGCUUCUUUUGGUGCAGCCCAGGAAGUGUGAAGAAAUGUGCAAAAGAAAAUAUUGGGAUGGACAGAAUUUGACCUAGGAGAGAUCCAGGUACACAACACAGAUUGAUUUUGCAAUCAAACAGUUAUGCCUGAUGAAGAUGAGUGUAUGUGGAGUGGGAAAUAGAGUGGGCAUCGCACAGAAUGGGAAAUAGAGAAGCUGGAGCUGCACUCCCUCCACCCCAUGGGUCAGUCAAAGUGUGAGGUGAAACCUCAUCACCCAGAGAUGCCCUUCUUUUGGAAUUAACAUUUUUGUAGUUUUUUAAAAAAAAAACCAAACCAAACAACAAACAACCCACAAGCCCAACACAAAGGCACAAAGGCACCUUGGGAAGAUGCUGGUGCUUUUCAGCCAGACAAUAUCGAGUGUAAAUUACCAGGCCAGAAAUUUACACAAUAAAGCAUGUCCAUCUUCAAGAGACUGUCUGUGUUUGUCACCUCUUCAGAGCUGCCAGUGACAAAAGGAAACAAAAGAGAAAGAAAAAGAUCUCUUUUUCACUUAAAGGAGAGUGUCAUUAUUCUUCAAAGGGAGGGAGGGAGUGCUGGGCUGUAUCACAGCAAACUCCUCACUAAAAUGGACAAUGUUUCAGAACAGGUCACCCAGGAGAACAGACUGUACAUCCCACCUGCAGCCAAACAAUUCCUGGACCUACAAGAACUUGCUCACAUGCUGUUUCAAGCAAAUCAACGGUCAUAUCGACUUCAACAAACUGUUCAUGUGCUUAAAGUAAAAUAAAUAUCUACUGCCUGUGCAGGUUUACCUAUAGCCCUGCUCUGUAUUUAACAUGAUCUUGACCUGCUGUGGACACUUCUGCAAUUAAAAAUGUUUUACUUUAUCAGGCAUUUCUCAAAAAGGUAUUUACACUCUUGCUUUUAAUCCUACAUACACUGACUUCUUUACUGCUUACAGAUCAUGGCCUUAGAUGUUUUAUUCAAACAUUGGAUGUACUUUCCUUAAAAUACUAGAGCUUCUGCAGUAGGUAGCAGGAAUGGAUGUAAAUUUACAUUUAUUUACUCUUUAUUUGAAAGCUGAACAAAAAGAAGCAAGUUGAGAAACUGUGUAAAAAACAUUACAAGUGUUUAAAUCAUUUUAAAUGUAAAUUGCUUUGCAUAUUUAAAAAGGUUCUCUGAUUUUUAUGUUUCUAAUUGUUUUCCUCCUACUUUAUAUUCUGAUAUUGCUAAAGAGAUUAUUUUGUAACCUCUGUGAAUGCACAGUGAAAUAUUAAUGGUUUGUGUAUCAAAA